CCAAGCUGCUCCACUACAUCUGGCUCCCCUCGGCAUCCUGAUUCUUCAUCUGCCAACUGUUUUUACAUUUUUUUUCUUUCAUGUUAUACAUAUAGAUCUUUUGUUGUUUUUGUUUUCUGUGCUUACAACAUACAUUGCAUGUCUGGCCGUCCUGGAUAAAAUUGAAUUGAAGACGGCAUUUAACAAGGUUUACUUUUCUUCUUUUAGACCUCCCGUGUGAGGCGCUCGCCAAGAGGUGUUGCCACAAGGCGCAGAGGAGGAAAGCGGCAGGUGCUGGCAACACCUUCACCUGCCCGUGUGACCGUGUCCGCCUCCGGGCCCAGACCAGCGGUGCAGCAGGUGGAGGCGACAGUCCAGGAGUCGGCCAGCGUGGUGCCAGGGGUGGUCGUCGGUCGGGAGGAGGUCGCUGCAGCGUUCCCCGC